rnacentral:rRNA from 1 species
GAUGAACGCUGGCGGCGUGCCUAAUACAUGCAAGUCGAGCGAACAGAUGAGGAGCUUGCUCCUCUGACGUUAGCGGCGGACGGGUGAGUAACACGUGGAUAACCUACCUAUAAGACUGGGAUAACUUCGGGAAACCGGAGCUAAUACCGGAUAAUAUAUUGAACCGCAUGGUUCAAUAGUGAAAGACGGUUUUGCUGUCACUUAUAGAUGGAUCCGCGCCGCAUUAGCUAGUUGGUAAGGUAACGGCUUACCAAGGCAACGAUGCGUAGCCGACCUGAGAGGGUGAUCGGCCACACUGGAACUGAGACACGGUCCAGACUCCUACGGGAGCCAGCAGUAGGGAAUCUUCCGCAAUGGGCGAAAGCCUGACGGAGCAACGCCGCGUGAGUGAUGAAGGUCUUCGGAUCGUAAAACUCUGUUAUUAGGGAAGAACAAAUGUGUAAGUAACUAUGCACGUCUUGACGGUACCUAAUCAGAAAGCCACGGCUAACUACGUG